rnacentral:rRNA from 1 species
UACAGAGGCCUCGAGCGUUAAUCGGAAUCACUGGGCUUAAAGGGUGCGUAGGCGGCGCUGCAAGUGCCUUGUGAAAUCCCAUCGCUUAACGAUGGAACUGCUCGGUAGACUGCAGUGCUUGAGGUUGGUAGGGGCUGCCGGAACUCUAGGUGGAGCGGUGAAAUGCGUAGAUAUCGAGAGGAACACCUGCGGCGAAGGCGGGUUGCUGGGCUGACACUGACGCUGAUGCGCGAAAGCCAGGGGAGCGAACGGG